CUUCACAGGAAUCACGUGUUGAACUUUGGUCUAGUGUUUGAGACAGCAUUAGCAGCCUUUUUGUCCUACUGUCCUGGAAUGGACAAAGGUAUUCGUAUGUAUCCAUUAAAAAUUAACUGGUGGCUUCCUGGAAUUCCCUUCUCAUUACUGAUCUUCAUUUAUGAUGAAAUCCGCCGCUUUAUUCUACGAAGAAGUCCUGGUGGCUGGAUGGAAUACGAGACAUAUUAUUGAAGAGAUGUCCCCCAAUAGACCAUUGCCGCUGUUCUCUCUAUCUCUCUUUCGUUCCCCUUGUUAGCCAAGGGGGAUAUAGCUCUGUAUACUGCUUCCUCCAUACGACCAUAGUCAGACAGAUCUUAUAACAAAGGCCACGAGUCCUUUUUUAGAACUCCAAAAGUGUGGAGUUUUUGACUUUUAUUUUUUUCGUGUAUUUAUUUAGAUAAAAUUAAUCAGGUUUAUUAGAAAGCAUGUAGGUUAGUUGAUGAUAGGAGAGUUAAAUACAGUUACAUUAGUCAUUUAACCGAAUGUUUCCUUUCUAGUUACGCUAUUACACUUUCGAAUAACAGGUUCUUAUUAAGGUUUUAAUCUACUCGUACUUCUAUGUAUAGAUAAAAACGCAGGCACUAUUUUAUUAUAUCUAUAUAAUUUCACUGUAAAAUAUAAAUCUUUAUUCUUAAGUUGCCAACGUUAUGGUUUAUAUGAGGUAAUAUUUAUGUGUUGAUUUCGUUGAGUGUGGACAUUACGAUUUGUUCAUAAUUGUUUUUUCCUUUGGUAUCACCUUCAUCUGUGUAAGAGCAUCAGUUAUAAAUAUAUGAUUUUUUUUACUUCCUUUACUUCAGUAGACGUGCACUAUAUAAUAAAACUUCACAUAUACAUGAUUCAUUUAUAUAGAUCGUAGGAAUAGAAUAGGCUAGAGACUAACAAUAUAUAUAUAAUUAAAGGUAUUAAAAUUUAGCUCUAAAACUGUGUUAUUGGCUUGGAGGACCUGACGUCAAAGGUGUUCCUUUAGCUCUGAAACUGUGUUAUUGGCUUGGAGGACCUGACGUCAAAGGUGUUCCUUUAGCUCUGAAACUGUGUUAUUGGCUUGGAGGACCUGACGUCAAAGGUGUUCCUUUAGCUCUGAAACUGUGUUAAUGGCUUGGAGAACCUCACGUCAAAGGUGUUCCUUUAGCUCGGAAACUGCGUUAUUAGCUUGGAGGACCUGACGUCAAAGGUGUUCCGGAAGUUUAAUUUUGCAGAAUAUAUACACUAUUUAAAAACAUUAAAAUCACAGUUAAGUUUGGACAUUCAGUCGUAAUAAUAACCGUACAGCUUCAGAGAAGCAACUGGAGAUUGGUCAGUGAAGUCAUUGAUACUUAUCCUGCCAUAGUCAUGAUAUAUUUGUUUACCAUGUUCUCAUAGGUUAUAUAAACAUUAGUUCGUGGUGAAUAUGCUGAUCUAGUUACUAGUCGUCAAUAACUGUUUACAGAAGCUCACACCUUGUUGUUUACAAGUGUAGUAACUGCCAUUUUCCUGUUGUGGUGACCGUUUUUAUGAUUUCUAGCUUCUGAGUUUUGAAAGUUUCAUAUUUUUUAUAUUUUCAGGUUUCAUAGAAGUAGCAGAACAAUAUAAAAUGGCAACUAACAUUUAUUUGUUAUAAUUUUUAGAUACAGUAUUUUAGCAUAACUGUUUUCAGAAUUUAAAACUAACUAAUGUACUGAACAAUUAAAAUAAAUCCGUAAUUUUAGCUGGUAUGAAUAAUUUGAGUGGACUUCACUGAAGACUUAAAAUCACAAUAUGAAUUAUUUAAACGUGUUCUUAACCUGAAAAUAGUUUCAUAUAAUUUCGGAAGAUGGCGCUUGGGUCAAAAUAAUAGUAUUUUUUUAAAUAAUAAACAGAGCGACGCAUAUUAGUAUUCUUGUUGUUAUUUUUGUUUCUGUAAUCAAAGUAGAUAUUAUUUUGACUAUAAUUUAUGUGGAUUUGAUGAUUGUUCGUGUUAUUAGAAGUUUGACGUACAGUCGAGUUAUGUUACUGAUCACUUGUAUUUGCGAUUUACUAUUUGAGUUCUAGCCCAGUAUUGUUGGUUUUCUUUGUUUAUUUUUUAUACACUGAUCUCUUGAGACACGUAAAUUUAGCCUAAGCCUAAAAGUCACCAUCAGUAAGUUUUGAGUAUAUAUAUAAAUAUAUAUUGUUUGGUGAACUCUCAUAUAAAAAAUUUGGUGAAUAAAUGUGACACUAGUCGUACGGUCCUCAAAUACAAGUUUUUAUUUUGUACAGGACAUCAUUCUGUCAUAGGUAACAUUUCAAACUUUGUGUUGUUUAACAUAGAGAAAAUGCUAUUAUUGUAUUUCAUAGAUUUAGAAAAUAUUUAUUAUAUACACACAUACACGUAUAUAUAUAUAUAUAUAUAUAUCAUAGGUGACCCAGCUGAGAAGCUAUUGUUUCCAUUUCAGGUGUAAUAAUACGCCCUCUUUUGCUGCACAUGUUUAGUGUACAAAGAUAUUUAACGAUGACGUCACAAAAGGACGGGCUAGGUCCUAUUAAGUGCUUAUUCUGGGAGAGUGUAAUGAGGGUUCCUUAUGAGUGCACAUAGUAAUAAUCAAAAUAUUAUUAAUUACUAAUGUAUAGUUAUGGAGGAUAAUAUGUAAUGCAAAGUUAGUCAAUAAAAGAUAAUUCCUCAACUGUU
rnacentral:lncRNA from 1 species